rnacentral:rRNA from 1 species
CCUAGGGGGGCUGCAGUAGGGGAUAUUGCACAAUGGGCGCAAGCCUGAUGCAGCAACGCCGCGUGGGCGAUGAAGGCCUUCGGGUCGUAAAGCCCUUUUCGAGGGGAUGAGGAAGGACAGUACCCUUGGAAUAAGCCUCGGCUAACUACGUGCCAGCAGCCGCGGUAAAACGUAGGAGGCGAGCGUUAUCCGGAUUUACUGGGCGUAAAGCGCGUGCAGGCGGUUUGGAAAGUUGGAUGUAAAAGCUCCCGGCUCAACUGGGAGAGGUCGUUCAAAACUACCGAACUAGAGUACAGUAGAGGGAAGUGGAAUUCCGGGUGUAGUGGUGAAAUGCGUAGAUAUCCGGAGGAACACCAGUGGCGAAAGCGGCUUCCUGGACUGUAACUGACGCUCAGACGCGAAAGCUAGGGUAGCAAACGGGAUUAGAUACCCCUGUAGUC